rnacentral:rRNA from 1 species
AUCUACAGGCUUAACACAUGCAAGUCGAGGGGCAGCAUGGUCUUAGCUUGCUAAGGCCGAUGGCGACCGGCGCACGGGUGAGUAACACGUAUCCAACCUGCCGUCUACUCUUGGACAGCCUUCUGAAAGGAAGAUUAAUACAAGAUGGCAUCAUGAGUCCGCAUGUUCACAUGAUUAAAGGUAUUCCGGUAGACGAUGGGGAUGCGUUCCAUUAGAUAGUAGGCGGGGUAACGGCCCACCUAGUCUUCGAUGGAUAGGGGUUCUGAGAGGAAGGUCCCCCACAUUGGAACUGAGACACGGUCCAAACUCCUACGGGAGGCAGCAGUGAGGAAUAUUGGUCAAUGGGCGAGAGCCUGAACCAGCCAAGUAGCGUGAAGGAUGACUGCCCUAUGGGUUGUAAACUUCUUUUAUAAAGGAAUAAAGUCGGGUAUGCAUACCCGUUUGCAUGUACUUUAUGAAUAAGGAUCGGCUAACUCCGUGCCAGCAGCCGCGGUAAUACGGAGGAUCCGAGCGUUAUCCGGAUUUAUUGGGUUUAAAGGGAGCGUAGAUGGAUGUUUAAGUCAGUUGUGAAAGUUUGCGGCUCAACCGUAAAAUUGCAGUUGAUACUGGAUAUCUUGAGUGCAGUUGAGGCAGGCGGAAUUCGUGGUGUAGCGGUGAAAUGCUUAGAUAUCACGAAGAACUCCGAUUGCGAAGGCAGCCUGCUAAGCUGCAACUGACAUUGAGGCUCGAAAGUGUGGGUAUCAAACAGGAUUAGAUACCCUGGUAGUCCACACGGUAAACGAUGAAUACUCGCUGUUUGCGAUAUACGGCAAGCGGCCAAGCGAAAGCGUUAAGUAUUCCACCUGGGGAGUACGCCGGCAACGGUGAAACUCAAAGGAAUUGACGGGGGCCCGCACAAGCGGAGGAACAUGUGGUUUAAUUCGAUGAUACGCGAGGAACCUUACCCGGGCUUAAAUUGCAGAUGAAUUACGGUGAAAGCCGUAAGCCGCAAGGCAUCUGUGAAGGUGCUACAUGGUUGUCGUCAGCUCGUGCCGUGAGGUGUCGGCUUAAGUGCCAUAACGAGCGCAACCCUUGUCGUCAGUUACUAACAGGUUCCGCUGAGGACUCUGACAAGACUGCCAUCGUAAGAUGUGAGGAAGGUGGGGAUGACGUCAAAUCAGCACGGCCCUUACGUCCGGGGCUACACACGUGUUACAAUGGGGGGUACAGAGGGCCGCUACCACGCGAGUGGAUGCCAAUCCCAAAAACCUCUCUCAGUUCGGACUGGAGUCUGCAACCCGACUCCACGAAGCUGGAUUCGCUAGUAAUCGCGCAUCAGCCACGGCGCGGUGAAUACGUUCCCGGGCCUUGUACACACCGCCCGUCAAGCCAUGGGAGCCGGGGGUACCUGAAGUGCGUAACCGCGAGGAGCGCCCUAGGGUAAAACUGGUGACUG